ACAACCGAGGUGCAAAGGCUGUCGCUGACCCUCAAAGGUUGUGCACGCCCGAGCGCUCUCACACAAUCCAUCUCACCUUUGUGCAUCACCGCGUGGGUCCCCUUUGCGGGAGGGCUCGCGUUUUCACAUAAUAACUCGAUACAGUGUAGAAUGUUUCUUUUGCGGUCACACGCAAUCAAUACAACUUUCAACAACGGAUCUCUUGGCUCUCGCAUCGAUGAAGAACGCAGCGAAAUGCGAUACGUAAUGUGAAUUGCAGAAUUCAGUGAAUCAUCGAAUCUUUGAACGCACCUUGCGCCCCUUGGCAUUCCGAGGGGCACACCCGUUUGAGUGUCGUGAAUUCUUCAAAACCCUUUUUUCUUCGAACCAUCGUGGUCGGGAAAAGGAUUUUUGGACUUGGAGGUUUAAUGCUCGCCCUUUCUUUUGAAAGCGAGCUCCUCUCAAAUGAAUUAGUGGGGUCCGCUUUGCUGAUCCUUGACGUGAUAAAAUGUUUCUACGUUUUGGGUUUAGCACUGUCGCUUGGAUGCCUGCUCCUAACCCGUCUCAUUGACAAUGAUGGUGCUCUGGUCACUGCCGUCUACAUCGGCGGGAGGCUGGACCCACAAAAAGAAAGACCUUGA
rnacentral:rRNA from 1 species